GACGAACGCUGGCGGCGUGCCUAACACAUGCAAGUCGAGCGAACAGACCAGGAGUUUGCUCGUCUGACGUUAGCGGCGGACGGGUGAUUAACAUGGGGAUAACCUACCUAUCAGACUGGGAUAACUACGGGAAACCGGAUCUUAUACCGGAUAAUAUAUUGAACCUCGUGGUUCAAUAGUUAGAUUCGGUUUUUCGGUCACUAAUAGCUGGAUCCGCGCCUGAUUAGCUAGUUGGUAAGGAAACGGCUUAGCAAGGCGAGGAUGGGUAGCCGACCUGAACGGGAGGUCGGCGACACUGGAGGGGAGACGGGGUCCAGACUCCUAGGGUAGGACGCAGUCGGGAAUCGUACGCAAUGGGGGAAAGCGUGACGGAGCAACGGCGCGUGAGUGAUGAAGGUCUUCGGAUCGUAAAGCUCUGUUAUUAGGGAAGAACAAAUGUGUAAGUAACUAUGCACGUAUUGACGGUACCUGAUCAAGAAGCCACGGCUAACUACGUG
rnacentral:rRNA from 1 species